AGAGAACCUGGGUAAGGUGCAGUUUGGGCAGCAGCAAAUAUCUGGCUUGAAUCAUGGCUGGAUGUUUACUGUAUUAUUUAGAAGGAAAGCUGGAGCUGUGAUGAUUCCUAAAUAGAAUAAGACAGGCUGACACAGACAUGAAGACUGGCAAGUCAGAAUAAGCUCCUGGUGACCUUGAAUCUACUUUCUGCUGCUGAGAAUUUACCUAUUUUGGAUGCUUCAUGAGACGAUUCCUCUUAGCAAAAGGGCACUGUGUACCCUCCAAGGCUGGAAAUGAUAGGUUUUCGGCGAGGAGUGAAAAUAUUGUGCUGACAGCCCUUUGCCUGUGUAGAGCAGGGUUGUUUACUCGCGCUGGAGCACAGCUUUAUUGAAGCAGAGAGUCAUGGUCCCAUCAUCAGGGUUGCCUAGCAACCAGUCUACGCCACUCCACAGAGUUUCAGAAUGGGCUGGACCACAAGUACCCACUUUGGGGGAUUUCCAGUGACAGUCCUACUCUCACUCCAUCACAUCGCUUCUAAAAUCUGAGUCACAUGGUUCAAAUUUCACAGUACAAAGUGUGUUCUUCAGAUCUGGGGUUCUCUCCAAAAUGGAUAAUCAUUAUUGAUUUUGUAAUGCAAUGCCAAGACCAUCAGUAAGAAAGAAAAUAAAAGAGACUGAGAAACCACAGAAAUAAAGAAGCGCUGAUGACAAUGCCUGCUUGCUGAUGGUUACGAUGAUCAUAGCAGUGUGCAUUUUGUAUGCAUGAAGCCUGCGACUAAAUAAACGUGUGGGGAAAUAUUUGUAAGGAAAUAAGCUAUUAAUAAAAUAAGCUAAAAUCACAGUUGCUGGACUAUGACUGAUUUUUCCCCUUUCUCUCAUUUAAAAUUAAAUAUUUGUAUGACUUGUAUAAUAGAAAAAUACAUGUAUUCAAUCUUAAAAAGAUAUUCUUAUUUUACACUUUACGGGACAAAAGAGGUUGUAGGUUGGAAUGGUUCAGUCCCCUUGUGACAACUCAAAAACAGAGACCUUAAGCCUUUCUCAACCAAUGUUGCGGGACAAGCAGGCGUGUGAGGCGACAAUGCCAUUAGGGUAUUUUUUGGAAAAAUUUUAGUGUGAGAGACAAAAGCCAAAUUCAAACUGGCCUGAGCCAAAAUAGGUAGGAAAGGGAGAAGCGGAGACAGGGAGGAAGAAAGAGAGAGAACAGAAAGAAAAAGGGAGAAAUGUCGAAAGGCAAAAUUACAACACAUUUAGUUAAAUGAUUGAAUUGGUUUUUAUUUGUAAUUCAUGAAUUGGGGCAGCAUCUCCUCUAAAACUUUAGGAAAAGUGCUCUGAUGAGCUAAACAGAGAAGCUUGGCUUUAUAGGCAGAAAAGGGUGAAGAAAGCAGACACAGGGAACAAAAAGCAGAUUGGUAAGCUCAGGUUACUUCAGGUUACUUUCCUUAUAAAGGUUAAAGUAGAGGGGACUUCCUUAUCAUGCUGGCUACAACUGGCCUGUUUGGGGAUUUGCAUAUUAUCUCUCUCUGUCUUGAGUUCUGGGAAGGUCUGAUGACUUAGUUUCAGUUUGGUGAUAUGGAACUUAGCAUGAGUGACUCCAUCUUGGUUUGGUCUACUGGGGCCUCCUGCAGGAGCUCAGCCCAAAUCAGUGACCUCCUAUAAAUUUCAUUUAAUAGAAAAGGAAGGAAGGAAGGAAGGAAGGAAGGAAGGAAGGAAGGAAGGAAGGAAGGGAGGGAGGGAGGGAGGGAGGGAGGGAGGAAGGGAGGAAAGAAGGAAGGAAAGAAAGAAAGUUGCUUAUAAGUUGCUUAUAACUAAAAAGACCAGCUGGACCCAGGAGCUCUGAGGUUGCUUUCAGGCCUCUGUCCAUCUCUUAGUUUUCCAUCCUCAGACAGGCUCUGCCCUGCCUUACAGUCUAGCAUUGUUGGCCAAAGGUGACUGACUGGCCCAGCUUGGGCUAUAUGUCCUUCCCUGUGGCCAGAGAGAUGUGUCUCUGUGAUGGCCAGGCUUGGGUCACGUACUCCCUCCCCUACCAGAAUCACAUGAAAAGAGGGAGGAAGAGCCGCUUUCCACCAAAGGAAACUGAAGUGCUAUUGUCAGAGGGGUUGCUGGGCAGACCAAAAAGAUGACAAUAUCUGCUCCAAUCGCUCGGGUUGUUGGUGCUUGGCAGAUUUGCCCCUACGUCACUUUUCAGAUGUGGAUAAGACUGAAGGUGACCACAGGCUUCCGAGAGGAAAGCUGCCAAUGGGGGUGUGAGAGGAGGGGGAAUUCUUACUCACCAAGGUUAACACUGUGCACACUGUUCUCCGAGGAAGUGGGAAUUUCCACAUGGUGAGUUCCCUUCCCUGUACAAUGAAUUACUAUCUUGAUGAGAAACCCGUGGGCAGCUGGUUGAGAAGAGAAAGGUAUUCUCUGAAUGAGAGGGAAUUUACCACCUUCCUUUCAAUGGUGACAGUUUUUUCUGGUGUCACCGCAGGGUGUGGAUUGAUUCAUAUACAAAUAUACAUAUCUACAUAGAUGCCAUUCUGCUAGCCUCUGCAAAAUGCAUGCCUGGAGACCAUUUCUGCUGCCUAGGAGAUGUCAACUUUGUCACCACCACUCUCUCUCCACCACUCCCACACCCUGCAGGGGCCAGGUGUGUGGGUGGGGAGCUCCCCAGCUGGAGGCCAGAUUAGAGGUCUCUGUGUGGUGGGGAUGGGGAGGAUGGGGUGGGAAUGAGGUGGUAGGCCACUGGCAGUGGUCCAAGUUCCAUCCAGGAUCUGUCCUAGGCCUCUCCCCAGGCUGUCGCUUCCACCAUUGAAUUUCUAACCUGGAUCUCUAAGGUUAUGAAUAUCUCAUUCCCGCAUCCUGGGGUGCUCAGACAUGUCUCCCCUGAGUCUCUAGCUGGGCUCGUGGCUGUGAUCAUUGUCCUCAGAGUUCCAUCCUCCCAACAAAGGGACAGAAGAAACACAGGGCCCACUUUUCUGGAUUCUGAGUUGGAGCCAAGAAAUUCUAUCUGCUGCUUCCUUCCUGUUGAAUUAUCCCCCAAGGACCCCUUAGUCCCUCCAGUCUCCUCCAGAGGCCUAUAGCUGCCCCAGCUCCCCAUGAUGGAUACCUGGCUCUUUCCUACCCAGAGGAAAACGCAGGCCCUUCCCCAGCCCUGCACUGAACUCCUGUGAGUGGCUGAGGAGAUGAGGAGGUGUGAAGAGUGAGUGUGUUGGGGAGGGAGGGGUCCCCUGCCACCAGGUACCAAGGACUUCUGCCAGAUCACCAGAACUGACACCUGGUUCCACCGGCCAGCUGUGAAGUGUCGGCCCUGACAUCAACAGCUGACCUCCCACAGGGCCUAAGGAAACGGAAUUGUGGGUAAAUGAAACAUUUUAUUUAUUUUAUUUUGUUUUAUUUUUAUAAAUUUUUGGGGAGACAGUUUUGCUAUGUUGCCAAGGCUGGGCUUGAUCUCCUGACCUUAAGUGAUCCUCCUACCUUGGCCUCCUGUGCUGAGAUUACAGGUGUGAAUCACCAUGCCUGGCCAAGAAGUGAAUUUGUAAAAGACAUGAGGAAAGGCCUGGUGGAAAGCUAACAGUGAAAAAAAUUUUCAAUACUUGCUAUAGAAACUAAAGAAACUCACAAUAUUUUGCUCUCUAUUGGAUCAUUUCCAUCAACAUACAAAUAAAUACCUGUUAUUUUUUCCAUCUUUAAAAAAAUGCCUUCAUUAUAAGUGAUUCAACAAAUUAAUAAACGAGAAGGGAAAAAUCUUCUCUAUAGAAGAAUUCCAAAUAGCAUAUGUAGAUACUCUCCCCUCCAGGAAGCCGAGCUUAAAUCCACUCUCUUUGAGAGUGGACUGGAUUUAGUGACUCACUUCCAAAGAGUAGAGUAUGGAAAGGGAAAAUAGUAACUUUAUAGGAAAGAAACCCAGCAGGUACCUUGUUAACCAAAUGAUGAAGGUUAACAUCACCGCUGAUAAGUCAUGUUGCUAUCAUUCACCCGCUGAUACGAUCUCAUGAGAAGGGCAAUUCCCGACUGUGGUAUUCUUCAAAUCUAUUGAGUUAUAAGAAAACAUGAGAUAAACCCAAACUGAGGAACAUUCUACAGAAUACAUGACCAGUAUUCUUCAAAGCCCUUAAGGUCAUGAUAAACAAGGGAAGACUAAGAAGUGAUCACAGAUUGGGAUGACUGAGACAUGAUGACAAAAUGCAGAGUGAUAUCUUGGAACAGAAAAAAGACAUUAGUGAGAAAAUUCAAAAAACUCUGAUUAGAGUUGAUAGUUGGGCUAUUAGUUUUAUACCAAUGUGAAUUUCUUAGUUUUGACAAAUAUACGUGAGGGAAAGCUAGGCGAAGGGUAUUCUGGAAAUCUCUACCCUGUACUGUCUUUUCAACUUUUCUAUGAAUCUAAAGCUCUUCCAAAGAUAAGUCUAUUAAAAAAAUAACAAAAACUUCCUCUAAAAUUUAAAGACGGACAAUAUCAGGUGUUGAUAAAUCUGUGGAGAAUUUGGAGCUCAUACAUUGCUGGUGAGAAUGUGAAAUUAUGUAGUUAUUUUGGAAAACAGUUCGGUAGUUCUUAUAAAAUGAAAGAUACAUCACUAAAUGACCCAACGAUUCUACUCCUUGAUAUCUACCCAGUAGGAAGGAAAUGAUGUCCGUACAAAGACUUGUAUACAAAUAUUCAUACCAUUUUUCAUCAUAAUGGCCCAAAACUAGAAACAACUCAAAUGUCCAUCAACAAGUAAUGGGUAAUCAAAUUGCGGUAUAUAUAUACAAUGAAAUAUAACUCAAUAUAAAGUAAGAAACUACUCAUAGAUACAGCAACAUGGAUAUUUCUCAAGUAUAUGCUGAGCAAAAAAAGCCAGACACAGGAGCACAUCCUAUAUGAUUCAAUUUAUACGACAUUUUAGAAAAGGCAAAACUAAUCUCAGAGACAGAAAGCAGGUCUGUGGUUGCCUGGAGCUGCGGAUUGGGGAGGGGAUGAUGGGAGAGAUUGACAAAAGGAGCACAAGGAACCUUUUGGGGUGAUGCUGGUAAUAUAUAUCUUGAUUGUUGUGGUGGUUACAUGGAUGCAUACAUUUGUCAAAAAUCAUUAAACUGUAUACUUCAAAUUUAUUAUAUGUAAAUUAUGCCUUAAUAAAGUUGAUUUUCUGAAAAGCUUUCUUUGAUCCGUUUACCCUGCCAGCUCCCCUUUUGCAAGACUCCUGAAAGAGCUGCUGAUACUCACUGUCUCCACUUCUACCCCAUAUGUUCUUUCUGAAGCCCACCCCAGCCAGGCUUCUAUUCCCAUCAUGCCAUGGAAACCAUUCUCAUCAAGGCGGCAGUGACCUCCGUGUUGCUAAAUCCAAUGAGCACUCACCACUUUCCAGUACAGUAUAUUAUUCAACCUGCUUGUUUAUUUUGUUUACUUUUCAUUGUCUAUCUACUCAAAGGCAGGAAACUGCUUUGUUCACGGCUGUAUCCCAAGUCCUAGAGUAGUGCCUGGCCCGUAGUAGCUGCCCAGUAGGUACUUGUUGAAUGAAGUAAUAAAGUUUCACCAGCAAGAGCAAACUUCCUACCUCUGGCCUAUCAGCCCAGGUCUGAGCAGACUGAUCCAGGAGACGACAGAGAAAAGGUGGAUCUGGAGGGAUCCUGCCCUGUCCCAGGAUUGGGAGAAUUGAGAGAGGCUCCGGAUUCUUCUUCAUUGUCUUUGGUUGUGCCUCGUGACCUCAGACAGACCUGGGCCUCUGGUUCGCUAGGCUGCAGCUGUGUGCUCAGAGCCACUGCCCACCGCUUAACGUCAUAGUUCUCAGGGGACCUUCCAGGAAUACUCAGAGGACAUAUGUCUGUGACUGCACUGUCCAGGGUACCAGCCACUGGCCAUGUGGCUACUGAGUACUUAUUUGGCCAGUCCCAAAUGAGAUGUGUUGAAACUGUAAAAUUUCAAAGACUUAGUACAAA
rnacentral:lncRNA from 1 species